rnacentral:rRNA from 1 species
GACGUAGGGGGCCAGCGUUGCUCGGAAUUACUGGGUGUAAAGGGUUCGUAGGCGGUGCGGCAAGUCGAUAGUGAAAUCUCUGGGCUUAACCCAGGGGCUGCUUUCAAAACUGCCGUGCUCGAGUGCGAGAGAGGUCAGUGGAAUUGCAGGUGUAGCGGUGAAAUGCGUAGAUAUCUGCAGGAACACCCGUGGCGAAGGCGGCUGGCUGGAUCGCAACUGACACUGAGGAACGAAAGCUAGGGGAGCAAACAGG